rnacentral:rRNA from 1 species
UAGGGAAUCUUCCGCAAUGGACGCAAGUCUGACGGAGCAACGCCGCGUGAGUGAAGAAGGAUUUCGGUUCGUAAAACUCUGUUGUUAGAGAAGAACAGCGCAUAGAGUAACUGUUAUGCGUGUGACGGUAUCUAACCAGAAAGCCACGGCUAACUACGUGCCAGCAGCCGCGGUAAUACGUAGGUGGCAAGCGUUGUCCGGAUUUAUUGGGCGUAAAGCGAGCGCAGGCGGUCAAUUAAGUCUGAUGUGAAAGCCCCCGGCUCAACCGGGGAGGGUCAUUGGAAACUGGUUGACUUGAGUGCAGAAGAGGAGAGUGGAAUUCCAUGUGUAGCGGUGAAAUGCGUAGUUAUAUGGAGGAACACCAGUGGCGAAGGCGACUCUCUGGUCUGUAGCUGACGCGGAGGCUCGAAAGCGUGGGUAGCAAACAGG